rnacentral:rRNA from 1 species
CCCUUAGAUGUUCUGGGCCGCACGCGUGCUACACUGAGUGGAUCAGCGGGUCAGGUUGCGCGAAAGUGUUUCCUAAUCUUGAAAUCCGCUCGUGAUGGGGAUUGACGGUUGCAAUUUUCCGUCAUGAACGAGGAAUACCUUGUAAGCGCGGGUCAUCAUCCCGCGCUGAAUACGUCCCUGCCCUUUGUACACACCGCCCGUUGCUCCUACCGAUUGAGUGGUCCGGUGAGGCUUUGGGAUCUGAGCGGAAAGAGCGUUUCGCUGUUUCUGCUCGGAAAACUCAGUCGAACCUUAUCAUUUAGAGGAAGGAGAAGUCGUAACA